CACUGUUUCCCCCUUCUUCCCGAGGGCAAUGCUAAGAGGAGCCCCCUAGGAAUCAGACUGGCUGGAGUAGCUUGAGUAGCAGCUGUUCCAGCCAGUAAGACCAAAAGAGGAAGUUACAGGCAGGGGAGGAGGGACUGGAGGAAACUCUCUAUUCUGGAGGGUUCCCUGGUUGCUGAGUCCGGAACUUCCAGCAGUAUUUUGUUGCUGCAGGGACUGAAUGAGCGGUGGAGAUAGUAGCAGCGUUUUAAAGCAUGCCUCUUGACAACUAUCCGGAAAUGCAUUCCUCUGCAUUAUCCAGCGAGUACAUAGGACAAUGCUGCAACCCAGCUGUGUCCAAGCACAGACAUUUAUAACUGCCAUUUGCCUUGCAUCAAGAGUAACCCCUGAAUCACACAAAUAAUACUGAUGUUGAUAUAGAGUCUAUUAGAAAUUAGAGCUUGAGACAAAAGCCUUUGUUUAGCUGUACUGAUGGUAUGCAGUCCCAGGAACUGCAAAUUGUACUUUAAGAAGACACAUUGCUACAUGUUUUGGAACUUUAAAAAAUGAAAGUACCACAUUUCCCUUAAGAGUGAGAACAGUGGAAAGAAAAUCAGUUCUCCAUGCACUCCUGUCUAUUCAGCACAGCCGACAAGAAGAAAGGAGAUUCAAGCUGAAAAAAUGCAGAGUCUUGUUUAAAACAAAACAAAAAAGGAGACAAGGCAGUUUCCAUUUUUAGCCAUCCUCAUCAGACUGGGUGUCAAACGAUAUGGUACAGUACAGGCUCCUUUACACGAAGCAUUAGCUCCCGUCUCCAGCAAAAUGCAUGCACAACACAGCAGCCUUCCAAAUGAGAAGCAAGAAGACACUUACCUUUCUACAAUGGUAACAAAAGAAUAGCAGCUUGGCCACUUCCGCAGCAAAUGCCUCUGUCAAGAAAAUGCAAAGAGUAAAGUCAGCUUGAAAGCUGCAGAGAGAGGCACUACCUAUUAUACUGGUGCCUUUUUCCAGGCACCCGGCUGACAGUGCUUGAACACCACCACCCUCCCCCCCCCACCUCUGCAUCACAGCAGGCGACUGUAGCCAGGAGACAGAGGUGCUUAAAUUAGAAAACCACUGCCAGAGGAAAUAAACAGGAACCACAGCGACCCCCUCGACCCCAGCAGCCAUCAAAUCCGGGAAGAUACAGUGCACAUCUGUUUCACAAGGCCCCUUGGGAGCUCCAACUCCAGCUACUUACCCUGCCUGCAUUAUUAAUAGAUGUUAAUGGCUCCAUUAUAUUGAAAGGAAGCCUUUUCCUUUCCUAUAAUAUGGAAAUUCAGGAGAGGUUUAAGAAAAUAAUAAUCAGGAGAUUGCAACUGCCUCUGUGGUCCUUCUACUGGCAGAGGUAGUGUUACACACACUCACUCACUCCCUUCCAGCUAUUCACUGGUGAUACUCCACCCUUCAACAUAUCAGUUUGGCAGCCAGAAAUUGAGUCCAAGCACUAAACUGCAAUAAAGUUGACAAGCAGGCAAAGACAUCCUGCCACCAGGCCAUUUCCUAAUUAAUUAAUUAAAUUUUAAAUCGCCUGCAACAUUUCAUCCAGAGCAUUUUCCGAGUCUAUACAAGUGAUGCAGUGACUCAAGUACUGAAUUUACUCCUUGGUAUGCUUGCAACACAAUUGGGGGCGGGAGGCUGGGUAUCUUCUGUGGUAGAGACAAAGAAGAGUAUAUUCAGACUGACUCAGUGACAAAAGCCUCUGGUCCUCAGAUUUGCUGAUGCAUACGAGAAUAUGAUCAUGGACUAUCCCUACUAUAGGUAGUAUUUUUGUUAGUAUUUGGGUUCCUUGGGAACUGUACACACACACACUCCAACAGGUAUAGGGAAGUUACAUUUUAAAGUAUGCAAGAUCCCAAAUAUCCCCCACAAAGAUAUUGGACACUCAUUUUAAAUUCAGAUCUUUCUAAAAAUUAUCUGACAUUACCAAUGGGGAAUAAACUAAGUCUAACUCCCUUUUGCUAGCUGUACAUAGAAGGCCCUGCACUUAUCAAUAAAAGUACAAUAUAUUUAUCAGAAUUUUGCAACAAUAAUGCAGCUUGGUUACAUGUGGAUGGGGCAAAUACAGUGGAAGAUAUUUCACAAUACUGUCUGUUCAUUAAUUAAAUUGCUGAACAUGUGUGCAUCUCUUGGUCUCUCUAGUGUCACAUUAAGUGUUUCUUAGCUAAAUUUAGCUUUAGUGAAGCUGGAUUUGCAGCAAAAAGCCUUUUUAUCCCAUGCAGAAUAGACUAACAAAUAUUUAAGUUUCAGCCGAUCCCACCCCAUCUACACGUUAUAGAGGCAGACAAUGCAUCUUCAAGGCUAUUAACAUAUUUACACUGUGGCUUUUCAUGGCUGAGUAGGAGGCCUUGGCGUCAGCCAGCCAGCAUCCUUCUAUUGCAGAUGCAAAAAAUGCAGCUGUUUGCUUACUUCUGAGGAAUACAUGAGAAGUGUCAUUAAUUCUUCCAAGACAAAUGUUAAGCGAUUGGCUUUGUUGCCCACUGCCUCUACUGAUUUUAGAGACCGCCACCAAGUAUUGCAGAGAAAUGAAGACUCACAUGGAUUGAUUGUAUUAACUGAAUUACAGACAGACAGCCUCAGCACGAUAGUCUUCAUCUCGCUCUCUAAUUAUUUAACCGGAUAGAGCCCGGCUGCUGGAAAAUUAGCUCUCAACAGGAGGCAACCGAUCUGAAAGGUUUCUUUUGAUGGAGAAAUUAUGAACUGCCAGUACUACAUAGGCCAGCAAGUCACUAUGUGGACCACUGUAUUUAGUUUGGAAAAUGGCUUGCUUUUAUACAACAGGAGUUUCAGGGAAAAUGGGGAAAUUCCUGUAUUUAAGAUUUUUUAAAGCAUGGAAUUUAGUAAAAAGAAUUGCAGUAAAAC